rnacentral:rRNA from 1 species
GACAGAGGGUGCAAACGUUGUUCGGAAUUACUGGGCGUAAAGCGCGUGUAGGCUGCUCGGAAAGUCGGAUGUGAAAGCCCUGGGCUUAACCUAGGAAGUGCAUUCGAAACUUCCGAGCUGGAGUUCUGGAGAGGAAGGCGGAAUUCUCGGUGUAGAGGUGAAAUUCGUAGAUAUCUGGAGGAACACCGGUGGCAAAGGCGGCAUCCUGGACCGGUAUUGACGCUGAGGCGCGAAAGCCAGGGGAGCAAACGGG